GACGAACGCUGGCGGCGUGCUUAACACAUGCAAGUCGAACGGAAAGGCCCUGCUUUUGUGUGGUUCUCGAGUGGCGAACGGGUGAGUAACACGUGAGUAACCUUCCUUUUACUUGGUGAUAACUUCAGGAAACUGGGGCUAAUACCGAAUAGGAGCUCCUGCUGCAUGGUGGUGGUUGGAAAUUUUAGGCGGGUGGGGAUGGACUCGCGGCUUAUCAGCUUGUUGGGGGGGUAGUGGCUUACCAAGGCUUUGACGGGUAGCCGGCCUGGGAGGGUGGCCGGGCACAUUGGGACUGAGAUACGGCCCAGACUGGUACGGGAGGCAGCGGUGGGGAAUAUUGCACAAUGGGGGGAAGCGUGAUGCAGCAGCGCGGCGUGCGGGAUGAAGGCGUUGGGGUGGUAAAGGGCUUUAGGCUGUGACGAAGCGGGAGUGACGUUAAUGGGUAAAGAAGCACCGGCUAACUACGUG
rnacentral:rRNA from 1 species